GUUUCUGUUAUGUAGUACAAAUGUACAUGUAUAUUAGUAUUCGUACAUGUACAGUAGGAUUAUAGGUUGUAGCAUUAAGUCAUUCUCCACAUUCACAUCAAGAAUCUCACUGAUAUCAUCUCCCAAAAACAUUCCAACUUUAUGGUGUUCAGAAUAUUAACUUGCCAUAUCGCUGUUAUUUUUUCAGGCUGAUGUCUUAGAUAUCUAGAUAUUUAUUUCGUUAAAGUGUUAAAGUAAAUGUUUUUUCAGAAUUGAUUUUUUUUAGGGUCAUUGCUUUUUUUUUCCUAUUGUGUAUGUGUUACAUCUUUGUGCUUAAACAUCAGCAUUGCAGAGUUAAUGCAUAUAAUGUCUACUAUCUAUUUGUAUUGUUUGUCAAGGGGCUGAUCUGGGAUUACCAUGUUUGUGCUAGAAUAAAAUGGUGCUUAGCUUAGGAAUUUUUGUGUAGAUUAGAUCAACAAUAUUUUAUUAUAAAAUGAUGUUCUCUGUUUUGUUUUUGCUAUGGAUUUACCAAAACAAUGUAUACUAUGUAUUCAUUUACAUGUUGAGGGCAGAUUCUGCUGUAUGAUUUAUACUACAGUUGUUAAACUAUUAAAAUGAGUCUGCAAUCUC
rnacentral:sRNA from 1 species